rnacentral:rRNA from 1 species
GACGAAGGGGGCUAGCGUUGUUCGGAAUUACUGGGCGUAAAGGGCUCGUAGGUGGCCAACUAAGUCAUACGUGAAAUCCCUCGGCUUAACCGGGGAACGGCGUCUGAUACUGGAUGGCUUGAGUUUGGGAGAGGGAUGCGGAAUUCCAGGUGUAGCGGUGAAAUGCGUAGAUAUCGUAAGGAAGACCAGUGGCGAAGGCGGGUCUCUCGGACAGUUCCUGACGCUGAGGCACGAAGGCCAGGGGAGGCAAACGGG